rfam:Strongylocentrotus purpuratus Contig114238_fixed, whole genome shotgun sequence.
CAAAUAGUCCUUUUCAGGACUACCACACCCCUAAAAAAGAUUACUG